AUCAAACUGCAAAGAAGGAGGCAGGAAAUGUGAUGCAGGAAUUACAGGAGGUGCAGGAAGCUUUUGGAGAGGGAAAAAGGAAAAUGCAGUUGGCAACUCAAGAAGCUGCAAAUGUAACAGCUGAAGCUGAAACACUAAGGAAGGAAUUAGUGCAUGUAAAGCAACAACUUGAAGAGGAGAAAAAACGUAAACAUGAGGCAGAAAAUGAGAUUGAAAAUUUGAAGAAAGAAUUGUUGGAAGCUCAAAAAGUGUUGGAGGAAGAGAAAAUUAAAAUACAGGAAGCAAAGAAAGAAAUGGAAGAUACAAAGAGUCACACUGAAAACAUGAAGAAGGAACUGAUGAAAGUGCAAGAAGAACUUGCAGAAGAGAAAAUUGAGGUGAAGGAAGCAAAGAAAGAAAUGGAAGAUACAAAGAGUCACACUGAAAACAUGAAGAAGGAACUGAUGAAAGUGCAAGAAGAACUUGCAGAAGAGAAAAUUGAGGUGAAGGAAGCAAAGAAAGAAAUGGAAGAUACAAAGAGUCACACUGAAAACAUGAAGAAGGAACUGAUGAAAGUGCAAGAAGAACUUGCAGAAGAGAAAAUUGAG
ensembl:lncRNA